UCCGACUUAACGUCGGCAGUCCUUUUAGAGUGCCCAACUAAAUGCUGGCAACUAAAAGCAAGGGUUGCGCUCGUUGCGGGACUUAACCCAACAUCUCACGACACGAGCUGACGACAGCCAUGCGGCACCUGUGUACCGGCCCUUGCGGGCGACAGCAUCUCUGCUAGUCUUCCAGUACAUGUCAAAAGUAGGUAAGGUUCUUCGCGUUGCAUCGAAUUAAACCACAUACUCCACCGCUUGUGCGGGCCCCCGCCAAUUUCUUUGAGUUUUAACCUUGCGGCCGUACUCCCCAGGCGGAUGACUUAACGCGUUAGCUGCGCCACCGAAACGCUAAGCGCCCCGACAGCUAGUCAUCAUCGUUUACGGCGUGGACUAC
rnacentral:misc_RNA from 1 species